CUCCUUCCGCUCUUCCAGAGUCGCAGACACAAGGGACAGCUCCCCAAAGAGGGAGACCAGCCAGGUCAGGCGAGAGAUGCCGCUGAAGGCGGGGAAGCCAAACCGCCCCUCUUCCAAAGGGCCAGCUGUGGGGAACCAGACACGGCGGGGCCUGGAGCUUUCACUGCCUGUACGACUGGUGGCUUAGCCGAGAAAUCACUGCCAAGACCAAUUCAAGGAUGUUUCCCUGUUUUCUUCUGAGAGUUUUACAGUUUCAGGUAUGACCGUAAAAAGAAAAAAACAUGUGUCUUCUACCGCUGUUGGAUGUACUGCUCCUUAAGCCUGUUAGAUCAAGAUGGUAGUCACUCAAGUCUCCUAUCGCCUUACGGAUUUCCUGCCCAUUUACUCUAUCAGUCAUUGAAAGGUACUGGAAUCUUUGACUGUGAUUUAGAUUUGUGUCUUUUUCUUUACCGUCCUGUCAGUUUUUGACUUAUGUAUUUCAAAGCUCUAUUGUUAGGUAUAUACAUGUUUAGGGUAAUUUUGUCAUCUUGAUCAAUUGACCACUUCAUCAUUCCGAAAUAACCGUUUUUAUUCCUGGUAGUAUUCUUCGUCCUGAAAUUUGUCUGUUAUUGACAAUCCACGACCAGUUUCCACUGAUCUGAGCGAGCACACUUAGGACAUUUUUUCCAACCUUUACUUUUUUUUCCUUUUUCUUUUUACCGCCACACCUGCCGCAUAUGG